GUCGAGAAUCUUUCACAAUGGGGGCAACCCUGAUGGAGCGACGCCGCGUGGAGGAUAAGGUCUUCGGAUUGUAAACUCCUGUCAUGCGUGAACAAGGUUGCUUGGUUAAUACCUGGGCAAAUUGAUGGUAACGCAAGAGGAAGAGACGGCUAACUCUGUGCAAGCAGCCGCGGUAAUACAGAGGUCUCAAGCGUUGUUCGGAAUCACUGGGCGUAAAGGGUGCGUAGGUGGCGUGGUAAGUCAGAUGUGAAAGCCCGGGGCUCAACCUCGGAACUGCAUCCGAUACUGCCAUGCUAGAGUACUGGAUAGGUGACUAGAAUUCUCGGUGUAGCAGUGAAAUGCGUAGAUAUCGAGAGGAAUACCAAAGGCGUAGGCAGGUCACUGGACAGUUACUGACACUGAGGCACGAAGGCCAGGGGAGCGAACGGGAUUAGAUACCCUGGUAGUCC
rnacentral:rRNA from 1 species